rnacentral:lncRNA from 1 species
CAGAGUCUUGAUUUGUCACUCAGGCUGCAGUGCCGUGUCUCGAUCUUGGCUCACUGCAACCUCCGCCUCCCUGGUUCAAUCCAUUCUCUUGUCCCAGCCUCUCCAGUAGCUGGUAUUACAGGUGCAUACCACCACGCUCAGCUAAUUUUUUUUUUUUUUUUGUAUUUUUAAUAGAGACAAUGUUUCACCAUGUUGGCCAGGCUGGUCUCGAACUCCUGACCUCAAGUGACCCGCCCGCCUUGUCCUCGAAUAGUGCUGGGAUUACAGGUGCGACCCACCACACCCGGCUGCAAUGUUUGUUUUAAUUACUUUUGGCAAGUAUUUCCUGAGUACCCCGAGCGUGCCAGGUGAAGAGAGACGGAUAAUAACAGCGCUAGCCAGCACGUAUUAAGCCUUGCAAAGCUGCACGGGCAUGAACUUGUGGCUUCAACACAACCUUAUGAGGUAGGUUUUCACAAUGUCACCGAGGCUGGAGUGCAAUGGUGUGAUCUUGGCUCACUGCAGCCUCAACCUCCCAGGCUCAAGUGAUUCUCCCACCUCAGCCUCUCAAGUAGCUAGGACUAUAGAUGUGUACCACACUCGGCUAAUUUUUGUAUUUUUUUGUAGAGAUGGGGUUUUGCCAUGUUGCCCAGGCUGGUCUCAAACUCCUGGGCUCCAGCAAUCCUCCGCCUUAGCCUCCCAAAUUGCUGGGAUUACAGGCCUGAGCCACUGGCGCCUGGCCAUGACUCCUUUCUUGAAAGACUCUCACUGUCUCUUCUCUUGCCAUCUCUCUGCUCUUCCUUUUUCUGUCCUCCUUUGUCCUCCUCCUCUUUCUCCUUCUCUGUCUCUGCCUCUCUCUGUGUGUCUCUCUCUUCGUGUCUCUCUCUUCCGCACAUCAUGCAUUCUUACCAACCAUGACUAAACACUUAUGCGAUAGAAGAAUAUGUUUUCAGUAAUUCACUGUGGGUCUUGGCUUGUAGAAAUCCCACAAGCCAGGCUCUGUGCCUUCGCUACACUUUUGGUGAGAACUUCUGUGGACAGAGGCACAAAAGCCUCAAGCUGUGAGAUUCAAAAUCUGGUGGUUAAGCCAGCCCCUCAGCGCUCCCAGCCUGCGCCCCUCGUUGGAAACAAUGAGUUGGAAAGUGUCUUGAUGACUUUCAGCAGACAGACCUGCAAAGAAGAGAAGCUGAUCUGGACUCUGGCCUUCCUUCACAACACACUGACAAGCCCACCACAGCUGCCAAACAUGAGGUGAUGGGACAGCCCUCGUGGCCUCCACCCACCGCCCUGGUGGAGAAGUGAAACAUGAACCCACCAGUGCAAGACAGAGGAAGAGGCACCAGCGAAGAGCAAGUGGUGUGGAAUUCUAAGGCAAAAGUCACCCUGAUUGAAUGGUGUAGAUUAGUCAAGAACCCAGCACUGAGGUCAGCCUCUGGAAGCAAUUUAAGAUGACCCAAGGAUUUGAGAUUCCAACCUCCUGCAUGCAAGCAGAAGUGCUUCCUCCUACAUAGGGCUGCCCUCCUUCCUGAGCAACUGGGCUGAUUUGUGGAAGAAACAGCUGUGCUUUCUGGUGAGCUCCAAUGCCAAACAUGUAGGCCUUGGAUCAGGCAGGAUGUUCCAUCAGCAGUCAUUGUUCACACCUGUGCUGUAUGGGCCAGGCAUCGAGCCAAUAGUAACACCUCCUUUCACCCCACAACAACCCUGUACCAAGCACACACCCAUUUUAUACCUGAGGAAGCUGAGGCUUGGAGAGGCACCGCGCCCAGGGUCAUGUAACCACAGGUGACAAAAUGAAGAUGCAAAUGCAACCUGAGUGAUUCCUUUUGAUGGAGCCACACCAUUUAAAUCAAUGCUGGGUGAUUGGAUUAUAUGUAAUUUUUUUAAAUUAAAAACAUUUUUUUGCCAGACACAGUUGCUCAUGCCUGUAAUCCCAGCACUUUGGGAGGCCGAGGCGAAGUGGAUCACUUGAGGUCAAGAGUCCGAGACCAGCCUGGCCAAUACAGUAAAACCCCGUCUCUACUGAAAAUACAAAAAAUUACCUGGGUAUGGUGGUGGGCAACUGUAAUCCCAGCGACUUGGGAGGCUGAGGCAGGAGAAUCACUUUAACCUGGGAGGCAGAGGUUGCAGUGAGCUGAGAUCGCACCACUGCACUCCAGCCUGGGCAACAGAGUGAGAUUCUGUCUCAAAAAAACCCAAAAAACAAAACAAACAAAAACAUUUGUUUCCCUAUAAUGAAUAGGAUUGCUUGUGUUUUAAAAGGGAGUAACCCAAUCACAGCACUUGCAGAUAACAUUAUAUGUUGCCUGGAAUCUGAUUUAAACUAUUCCACGGGGUGGGGGGUGGUGCAGAAAUAAAGCCAAAUUAUCCGUGAAUUCAUAACCCUUGAGGCUGAGUAUUGGAUAUGACGUUCAUCAUCCUAUUCUCCUGUAGUGAACGUGUUUGAGAAGUUCCACGAUAUUAAAAAAAUUUAAAUUUAAAAUUUAAUAAGUCUAAAUUCAAGAUAAAUGAACUAGCCUGGGAAUGCCCUGUCAUGAGGGUGGCAGUCCUUCGCCCCACCCCACAGCUGAAAGCAUUUUAAGGUCGGCUUCGAGAAGGUAUUCAUUAAGGCCUCCUGGUUCUGCUCUCCCUGGACCACAGUGGCUCUCUUUGCGUCCAAGAGAACAAUCUUCCCCCAGAUUGCUGGCCAAGUCGCGACUGCGUGUUAGGGAUCCCACAGCCAAGUUGUGGUUUUAUGACAGAGUUUGGAACCAUAUGUGGUUCACGUUCACUCAGUCCGGA